ACCACCAACCACCACCAUCCACCACAACCAACCACCACCACCCACAACCAACCACCACCACCCAACAACCACCACCACCACAACCAACAACCACCACCACCCACCACCACCAACAACCACCACCCACAACCAACCACCACCACCCAACAACCACCACCACCCACAACCAACACCACCCACAACCAACCACCACCACCCAACAACCACCACCACCCAACAACCAACCACCACCACCCAACCAACCAACCACCACCACCCAACAACCAACCACCACCACCAACCACCACCACCCAACAACCACCACCACCAUGCAACAACCACCACCAACCACCACCACCCAACAACCACCACCACCACCCAACAACCACCACCAACACCCAACAACCACCACCACCACCCAACAACCACCACCACCACCACCACCCAACAACCACCACCACCCAACAACCACCACCACCACCCAACAACCACCACCACCACCACCACCACCACCACCACCACCACCACCCAACAACCACCACCACCACCAACAACCACCACCACCACCACCACCCAACAACCACCACCACCACCCAACAACCACCACCACCACCCAACAACCACCACCACCACCCAACAACCACCACCACCACCCAACAACCACCACCACCCAACCACCACCACCACCACCACCACCACCCAACCACCACCACCACCACCACCCACCCACCACCACCACCACCACCACCCAACCACCACCACCCAACCACCACCACCCAACAACCACCACCACCCAACACCACCACCACCACCACCACCACCAAUAAAACCUUUACAACAAGAGCCACUAACGGAGUCGAUUCUCCAGAUUCCUAUUUUUUGUUUCUCUCUCUCGCUCUUUACUAUAAAAUCCCAAUGAAACACGUUACAGAGUGCAAGUGAAGCCCUUUAAAUGAUCCAGUGUCAUUGCGUGUGUGUGUGUGCGCGCGCGUGCGUGUAUUGCGAGUGUGUGUUGUACGGAUCUGCCUUAUCGUGCAUCUAUGCUGCCUUUCGCUGAGCUUCUAAUGUUGGACCAUAGAUAGACACAGACCAUACAGUAUCUCCAGUGUGUUGAGGAACAGACUUAUAGCUGCAGUGUUUGUGGGUGUGUGAGAGAGAGAGAGAGUUCACUGUCUCACAAGUUUAACACAACUCCAAUCAAUCAGUCACCCAAAUGUCUAAUUAAUGUGUGUAACUACUGCUCAGUGAAGCCGGAGCAACAACUCACCCUCAGCACGUCAUUUGUGUUUGUCAGGGCUUACAUACUGUAUAUGUGGAAGAAUUAAGGCCAUACAUGUGAAUAUAUUUCUUAAGAGGGCAUGCAUAUGAAUUUAUUCGUUAGAUGAAUGAACUGGUUUGGCGCCUGGGGCGUACAGGUUAAUAUAUUUGUUAGGUGAGUGGGGUAUGAGUGGGACUGCAUAUAGGUUCAUAUAUUUGUUAGGUGAGUGGGGUAUGAGUGGGACUGCAUAUAGGUUAAUAUAUUUGUUAGGUGAGUGGGGUAUGAGUGGGACUGCAUAUAGGUUAAUAUAUUUGUUAGGUGAGUGGGGUAUGAGUGGGACUGCAUAUAGGUUAAUAUAUUCGGUAGAUGAUUUGCCCUCAGGAUGUCUGUUUGUCUGACUUUCCUGACUUUCCUAUCAUGUUGUUGUACAGAUUUUAACUCUUCAAAUGACAUUCAGGUAGGCUGGCGAUCUGAAGCCUUGCUCUAGUGCUGUAUACCUGUGAACUCUGACCCCUGAGGAACACAGAUUAACUUCCUCUUUUCCCCUGUUGUUGUUAUUGUUGUUUUCCUCCCUACCAUUCCAGAUCUGCCUUCUUCAUGUGUGUGUUGAUGAUGAUGCAGAAACUCUGAUGUAGAUACAGUCUGAUCUUAAAUUAUUACUUUUGACAGUUGUCUCUCAUAAGUUUGUUUUAUACGUUAGCGUUUUUCGUGUCGGCCAGUCAGAGCUCCGUCAUGUGCCAAUCCCCGUCUCCACGGAAACGCAGGAUUCUUACCUGUGAUGUAAUCUCAUAGGCUAUAUAUAAAUUCUGUAAAUAACAGUUUAUGAAGUGUUACUUGAUUCUAUGUAAUUAUUACGAUGAGGACUAUUUUAAUUACUUCAUGUUAUUUGCUGUGGUUGUAGUUAAAUCAUCUUAUUCUCUCAUUUCCAUUGUGUUAUUGAAGAACCCAUAAGUUGUAGGGCUACAGAUCAAACAGAAGGGGAGAAAUGAUACGUCAACAUUAAAGUGGAUUCUAAUUCUGACAACUGAAGCAAGACUGAAGUUGAGGAAGUAUUUUGUUUUUAUUGUAGAAGGUGUAGACCAGUGUUGGUCUGUGUGUCUCUAAAUGCUAUAUAGAUAGAGGGCAGGUAGACCCUUCUGGAAAAAGAACACAAAGAUUACUUUUUAAAAAAAAUAAAUUUGGUUAAAGGAGAGCUGUUGCCUGCUCAAAUUCAUGUUCCACACCAUCAUACAGUAUUGACUACACACUAACACACACACUUACACUAGCACACCAACGAAUCCAUGAGCUGGCAAGGUAACAAGAAAUAUGUCGUUCUGCCCCUGAGCAAGGCAGUUAACCCACUGUCCCCCGGGCGCCAAAGACGUGGAUGUUGAUUAAGGCAGCCCCCCCCCCUCACCUCUCUGAUUGAGGGGUUGGGUUAAAUGUGGAAGACACAUCUCAGUUGAAGGCAUUCAGUUGUACAACUGACUAGGUAUCCCCUUUCCUUUCCUUUCUCUUCCCAACACACACACACACACACACACUCUUGAGCCCAACAAUGGCAGGAGAGUUUCACAGCCCCCUAAUCCCAAAUGCAGAGGCCUUUAAAGCCCCAAUUAGGCUGAUCCCUGUCCAGAGGUCAUUACAAUACAGUACCCCAUGGAUAUUCAAAAUAACAAGUACAAAACAGCUCAUAAAGGACAAUCCAGAGACACUAUUUGCUGCUACAAAGAAGGGAACUUAAGUAACUUAAUUGUCCACACAGACCAUCCCCUGGCAUGGUGCUAUAUUAACACAGACCAUCCCCUGGCAUGGCACAGUGCUAUAAGAGCACACUACCCCUAUGCCAAGAGAGAGGGUAUUGGUCCAGGGUGGAAACUCACAAUACUAGACACUGAGGAAAUUGAAACAACCUCUGUCAACGUGUACAAGUCUGGGACAGUAAUGGUGCAGGGCAUCCUCAUGCAGUUCUAGCAAGACUUUAACAGGAUCAAAGAGAGAGCACAGAAAGGGAAAAUCUCUCUCUCUGUAACGACAACCCCCCCACAUCCACUGAGGACACAAAAUCCAGAAAUCACUGACUCAAAUGGCAAAUACAUUCAGGAGAAUAACACUUUUCCCCCAAACACAAAGUGGCUAAACUCUGGUGUCCAAACAGUAGGCAUGUCCUGGAGCUGUUGUCAGAGGACAAACAGUAGGCAUGUCCUGGAGCUGUUGUCAGAGGACAAACAGUAGGCACGGCCUGGAGCUGUUGUCAGAGGACAAACAGUAGGCAUGCCCUGGAGCUGUUGUCAGAGGACAAACAGUAGUCAUGCCCUGGAGCUGUUGUCAGAGGACAGACUAGGGUCCCCCAGCCACAUCAUAAUUCACACCGGCACAAAUGACCUGAGGGCCCAGCAGGAAAUGGUGUCAAAGGGAGUGAUUGAAAAAGCUUCUUCCACUUUCUCCAAUGCACAAGUGGUUAUCUCCACCUUGCUACCAGAGAAGAUAUUCACUCUGCUACCAUACAGUGGGUGAAUGCAAGCAUUUCACAUGACUGUGCCUCAACACCUAAUGUCUACCUGACCCACCACUUCACCCUGGACUUGAACAGCCUUUACAAACAGGUCCACUUCUACAAGGCAGCAAAUCCAACUUUUUUCAGGACCCUGAAGGACGUCAACCUCAACCGCAGCCCCAGCACCUCACACAGAGCAACAGAAGCCCCGCCCAGACCAGUGAGACACCCUCCUGAAGGACCUGCACUGAGAGAACCAACGCCAAGAGGACUUACUGUACACCCAGACCAUAGCUUUACCAGCCACACCCCACCCAGCUGAGACCACCUCAAACAAACAUUUCCCGGGACCGUGCAUUUCCUGGGACUGUGACUCAAAACCUAAUGUCUACCUGGGCCACCACUUCACCUUGAACUUCAACAACCCUUUAUAGACCCCCCUACCACCCACCCCUGCAGCAAGGACCUCAACAUAACAGCUGCACAUACUGUAUGCCCAGAACGUGAGCAGAGCAACAGGCCCAACCCCAGUAAUGAGACACCCCCCAAGCCCCAUCCUGCAACCUAAGAGGUAUGUAUCAGAUGCUCAACAUGCUCUGCUCACAGCUACUGUGAUGGUCCGGGCAUAAACCACACAAAAACAACACUAGACACGAUGGAACACAAAGCUUUUACUAUCUCAUCCUGGAAUAUACAAGGUCUGAGGUCAUCUGCCUUUAGCCCAAAGAGCAGGAACCCGGACUUCAUCAAAGAAAUUGGAAAUACAGACAAUGUCAUCCUACAAGACACCUGGUAUAGAGGAGAUGGACCAACUGGUUGCCCUCUAGGUUACAGAGAGCUGGUAGUCCCAUCCACCAAACUACCAGGUGGGUGGUAUAGAGGAGACAGACCCACUGGUUGCCCUCUAGGUUACAGAAAGCUGGUAGUCCCAUCCACCAAACUACCAGGUGGGUGGUAUAGAGGAGACAGACCCACUGGUUGCCCUCUAGGUUACAGAAAGCUGGUAGUCCCAUCCACCAAACUACCAGGUGGGUGGUAUAGAGGAGACAGACCCACUGGUUGCCCUCUAGGUUACAGAAAGCUGGUAGUCCCAUCCACCAAACUACCAGGUGUGAAACAGGGAAGAGACUCAGGGGGUAUGCUAAUGUGUUAUAGAGGAGACCUAACCCACUCUAUUACAUUAGUCAAAACAGGAACAUUUUACAUCUGGCUAGAAAUUACUAAAGAAAUGAUCUCAACAGAGAAAAAUGUCCUCACGUGUGCUACCUAUAUCCCCCCUAUAGAAUCCCCAUACUUUAACAAUGACAGCUUCUCCAUCCUAGAGGGGAGAUCAUUAUUGUAGGUAUUGCCUUUACCUCUCUUAUCCUACCUCAUUUGCACAUGUGGUAUAUCAAUUUUUCUACUGUAUUAUUGAUUGUAUGUUUGUUUAUUCCAUGUGUAACUCUGUGUUGUUGUAUGUGUCACACUGCUUUGCUUUAUCUUGGACAGGUCACAGUUGCAAAUUAGAACUUGUUCUCAACUGGCCUACCUGGUUAAAUAAAGGUGUUCUCAACUAGCCCACCUAGUUAAAUAAAGGUGUCCUCAACUAGCCUACCUGGUUAAAUAAAGGUGUUCUCAACUAGCCUACCUAGUUAAAUAAAGGUGUUCUCAACUAGCCUACCUGGUUAAAUAAAGGUGUUCUCAACUAGCCUACCUAGUUAAAUAAAGGUGUCCUCAAC
ensembl:lncRNA